ACGAACGCUGGCGGCAUGCCUAACACAUGCAAGUCGAACGAGACCUUCGGGUCUAGUGGCGCACGGGUGCGUAACGCGUGGGAACCUGCCCUUAGGUUCGGAAUAACUCCCCGAAAGGGGUGCUAAUACCGGAUAAUGUCUUCGGACCAAAGAUUUAUCGCCUUUGGAUGGGCCCGCGUUGGAUUAGCUAGUUGGUAGGGUAAAAGCCUACCAAGGCGACGAUCCAUAGCUGGUCUGAGAGGAUGAUCAGCCACACUGGGACUGAGACACGGCCCAGACUCCUACGGGAGGCAGCAGUGGGGAAUAUUGGACAAUGAGCGAAAGCCUGAUCCAGCAAUGCCGCGUGAGUGAUGAAGGCCUUAGGGUUGUAAAGCUCUUUUACCCGGGAUGAUAAUGACAGUACCGGGAGAAUAAGCUCCGGCUAACUCCGUG
rnacentral:rRNA from 1 species